rnacentral:rRNA from 1 species
CUACGGGCCGCUCCAGUCGAGAAUCUUUUGCAAUGCGCGAAAGCGUGACAAUGCGACGCCGCGUGAGCGAUGAAGCCCUUCGGGGUGUAAAGCUCUGUCGGCCCGGAUGAAUAUUCGUUUUCUAAUACAGAGCGGAGACGACAGUACGGGCAGAGGAAGCCACGGCUAACUCCGUGCCAGCAGCCGCGGUAAUACGGAGGUGGCAAGCGUUGUUCGGAUUUAUUGGGUGUAAAGGGUAUGUAGGCGUCCUGACAAGUCGAAUGUGAAAUCCCUUGGCUUAACCAAGGAACUGCGUUCGAAACUGUCAGGAUUGAGCAUGGAAGAGGAGAGUGGAAUUUCCGGUGUAAGGGUGAAAUCUGUAGAUAUCGGGAGGAACACCAGUGGCGAAAGCGGCUCUCUGGUCCAAGGCUGACGCUGAAAUACGAAAGCAAGGGGAGCAAACAGGAUUAGAUACCCCAGUAGUC